rnacentral:rRNA from 1 species
GACGAACGCUGGCGGCGUGCUUAACACAUGCAAGUCGAACGGAAAGGCCCUGCUUUUGUGGGGUGCUCGAGUGGCGAACGGGUGAGUAACACGUGAGUAACCUGCCCUUGACUUUGGGAUAACUUCAGGAAACUGGGGCUAAUACCGGAUAGGAGCUCCUGCUGCAUGGUGGGGGUUGGAAAGUUUCGGCGGUUGGGGAUGGACUCGCGGCUUAUCAGCUUGUUGGUGGGGUAGUGGCUUACCAAGGCUUUGACGGGUAGCCGGCCUGAGAGGGUGACCGGCCACAUUGGGACUGAGAUACGGCCCAGACUCCAACGGGAGGCAGCAGUGGGGAAUAUUGCACAAUGGGCGGAAGCCUGAUGCAGCAACGCCGCGUGCGGGAUGACGGCCUUCGGGUUGUAAACCGCUUUAGCCUGUGACGAAGCGUGAGUGACGGUAAUGGGUAAAGAAGCACCGGCUAACUACGUG